rnacentral:snRNA from 2 species
AGCUUUGUGCAGUGGCAGUAUCAUAGCCAAUGAGGUUUAUCUGAAGCACGAUUAUUACUAAUUGAAAACAGAAUGUGCAUAAAUAACAAGUCAGUUAUUCCUCCAGGAAGAUCUCCCAAGGAAUCAAGGGUAGCCUUAUCUUUGAAAUAUCUCCGCAGUCAUCUGUGGGGUACAUAAUCUACAGCUGGAGAU